GACGAACGCUGGCGGCGUGCCUAAUACAUGCAAGUUGAGCGAUGAAGAUUGGUGCUUGCACCCAUUUGAAGAGCAGCGAACGGGUGAGUAACGCGUGGGGAAUCUGCCUUUGAGCGGGGGACAACAUUUGGAAACGAAUACUAAUACCGCAUAACAACUUUAAACAUAAGUUUUAAGUUUGAAAGAUGCAAUUGCAUCACUCAAAGAUGAUCCCGCGUUGUAUUAGCUAGUUGGUGAGGUAAAGGCUCACCAAGGCGAUGAUACAUAGCCGACCUGAGAGGGUGAUCGGCCACAUUGGGACUGAGACACGGCCCAAACUCCUACGGGAGGCAGCAGUAGGGAAUCUUCGGCAAUGGACGAAAGUCUGACCGAGCAACGCCGCGUGAGUGAAGAAGGUUUUCGGAUCGUAAAACUCUGUUGGUAGAGAAGAACGUUGGUGAGAGUGGAAAGCUCAUCAAGUGACGGUAACUACCCAGAAAGGGACGGCUAACUACGUG
rnacentral:rRNA from 1 species